rnacentral:rRNA from 1 species
UAGGGAAUAUUGGACAAUGGGUGAGAGCCUGAUCCAGCCAUGCCGCGUGCAGGAAGAAAGCCUUCUGGGUUGUAAACUGCUUUUCUCUGGGGAUAAAAGACCCGUGCGCAGGAAAUUGAAGGUACCAGAGGAAUAAGCCACGGCUAACUACGUGCCAGCAGCCGCGGUAAUACGUAGGUGGCAAGCGUUGUCCGGAUUUAUUGGGUUUAAAGGGUGCGUAGGCGGUCAAUUAAGUCAGUGGUGAAAUACGGCAGCUCAACUGUCGAGGUGCCAUUGAUACUGGGUCACUUGAGUACUGAUGAGGUAGGCGGAAUGGACGGUGUAGCGGUGAAAUGCUUAGAGAUCGUCCAGAACACCGAUAGCGAAGGCAGCUUACUAAGGAGUAACUGACGCUGAGGCACGAAAGUGUGGGGAUCAAACAGGAUUAGAUACCCCCGUAGUCC